rnacentral:tRNA from 1 species
GAGGGUAUAGCUCAGUGGUAGAGCGCAUGCUUGCUUAGCAUGCACGAAGUCCUGGGUUCAGUCCCAAGUGCUGCCA